UCCGGAAUCAUUGGGCGUAAAGGGUACGUAGGCGGAUAAGCAAGUUAGAAGUGAAAUCCUAUAGCUCAACUAUAGUAAGCUUUUAAAACUGCUCAUCUUGAGGUAUGGAAGGGAAAGUGGAAUUCCUAGUGUAGCGGUGAAAUGCGCAGAUAUUAGGAGGAAUACCGGUGGCGAAGGCGACUUUCUGGCCAUAAACUGACGCUGAGGUACGAAAGCGUGGGUAGCAAACAGGAUUAGAUACCCUGGUAGUCAAGGGCG
rnacentral:rRNA from 1 species